AAGUCGUAACAAGGUUUCCGUAGGUGAACCUGCGGAAGGAUCAUUAAUGAAUUUUAGGACGUUCUUUUUAGAAGUCCGACCCUUUCAUUUUCUUACACCGUGCACACACUUCUUUUUUACACACACUUUUAACACCUUAGUAUAAGAAUGUAAUAGUCUCUUAAUUGAGCAUAAAUAAAAACAAAACUUUCAGCAACGGAUCUCUUGGCUCUC
rnacentral:misc_RNA from 2 species